rnacentral:rRNA from 1 species
UAGGGAAUCUUCCGCAAUGGACGCAAGUCUGACGGAGCAACGCCGCGUGAGUGAAGAAGGAUUUCGGUUCGUAAAACUCUGUUGUUAGAGAAGAACAGCGCAUAGAGUAACUGUUAUGCGUGUGACGGUAUCUAACCAGAAAGCCACAGCUAACUACGUGCCAGCAGCCGCGGUAAUACGUAGGUGGCAAGCGUUGUCCGGAUUUAUUGGGCGUAAAGCGAGCGCAGGCGGUCAAUUAAGUCUGAUGUGAAAGCCCCCGGCUCAACCGGGGAGGGUCAUUGGAAACUGGUUGACUUGAGUGCAGAAGAGGAGAGUGGAAUUCCAUGUGUAGCGGUGAAAUGCGUUGAUAUAUGGAGGAACACCAGUGGCGAAGGCGACUCUCUGGUCUGUAACUGACGCUGAGGCUCGAAAGCGUGGGUAGCAAACAGG